rnacentral:rRNA from 1 species
ACAGCAGCAGCCGCGGGAAUACGUAGGUGGCAAGCGUUGUCCGGAAUUAUUGGGCGUAAAGGGCUCGCAGGCGGUUUCUUAAGUCUGAUGUGAAAGCCCCCGGCUCAACCGGGGAGGGUCAUUGGAAACUGGGAAACUUGAGUGCAGAAGAGGAGAGUGGAAUUCCACGUGUAGCGGUGAAAUGCGUAGAGAUGUGGAGGAACACCAGUGGCGAAGGCGACUCUCUGGCCUGUAACUGACGCUGAGGAGCGAAAGCGUGGGGAGCGAACAGGAUUAGAGACCCCAGUAGUCCCUGUCUCUUAUAC